rnacentral:lncRNA from 1 species
AGUUGCAGACACUAAAUCGUUCCUUGUUUGGAUGUGCAGGGAAUAGAAUUUGUUGGUCGUUAUUGAUCUACCCGGUGCCCUUAGGUCGCAGAAUGGAGGUGAGCACACCAAAUCGAGAAAUAGAUCCAUGGAAUAGGGCAACAUGGAUGCAAAUAUUAGGACUUGGGUUGUAUCUUUCACGCAAAAGAAUGAUCAAUUUUCUUUCACGACAUUGACAUUGGAUGGCACUCCAUGC